rnacentral:rRNA from 1 species
GACGAACGCUGGCGGCGUGCUUAACACAUGCAAGUCGAACGGAAAGGCCCUGCUUUUGUGGGGUGCUCGAGUGGCGAACGGGUGAGUAACACGUGAGUAACCUGCCCUUGACUUUGGGAUAACUUCAGGAAACUGGGGCUAAUACCGGAUAGGAGCUCCUGCUGCAUGGUGGGGGUCGGAAAGUUCCGGCGGUUGGGGAUGGACUCGCGGCUUAUCAGCUUGUUGGUGGGGUAGUGGCUUACCAAGGCUUUGACGGGUAGCCGGCCUGAGAGGGUGACCGGCCACAUUGGGACUGAGAUACGGCCCAGACUCCUACGGGAGGCAGCAGUGGGGAAUAUUGCACAAUGGGCGGAAGCCUGAUGCAGCAACGCCGCGUGCGGGAUGACGGCCUUCGGGUUGUAAACCGCUUUCGCCUGUGACGAAGCGUGAGUGACGGUAAUGGGUAAAGAAGCACCGGCUAACUACGUGCCAGCAGCCGCGGUGAUACGUAGGGUGCGAGCGUUGUCCGGAUUUAUUGGGCGUAAAGGGCUCGUAGGUGGUUGAUCGCGUCGGAAGUGUAAUCUUGGGGCUUAACCCUGAGCGUGCUUUCGAUACGGGUUGACUUGAGGAAGGUAGGGGAGAAUGGAAUUCCUGGUGGAGCGGUGGAAUGCGCAGAUAUCAGGAGGAACACCAGUGGCGAAGGCGGUUCUCUGGGCCUUUCCUGACGCUGAGGAGCGAAAGCGUGGGGAGCGAACAGGCUUAGAUACCCUGGUAGUCCACGCUGUAAACGGUGGGUACUAGGUGUGGGGUCCAUUCCACGGGUUCCGUGCCGUAGCUAACGCUUUAAGUACCCCGCCUGGGGAGUACGGCCGCAAGGCUAAAACUCAAAGGAAUUGACGGGGCCCCGCACAAGCGGCGGAGCAUGCGGAUUAAUUCGAUGCAACGCGUAGAACCUUACCUGGGUUUGACAUGGAUCGGGAGCGCUCAGAGAUGGGUGUGCCUCUUUUGGGGUCGGUUCACAGGUGGUGCAUGGCUGUCGUCAGCUCGUGUCGUGAGAUGUUGGGUUAAGUCCCGCAACGAGCGCAACCCUUGUUCACUGUUGCCAGCACGUUAUGGUGGGGACUCAGUGGAGACCGCCGGGGUCAACUCGGAGGAAGGUGGGGAUGACGUCAAGUCAUCAUGCCCCUUAUGUCCAGGGCUUCACGCAUGCUACAAUGGCUGGUACAGAGAGUGGCGAGCCUGUGAGGGUGAGCGAAUCUCGGAAAGCCGGUCUCAGUUCGGAUUGGGGUCUGCAACUCGACCUCAUGAAGUCGGAGUCGCUAGUAAUCGCAGAUCAGCAACGCUGCGGUGAAUACGUUCCCGGGGCU